rnacentral:lncRNA from 10 species
CAGGAACUGCCACAGCCCUCUUUGGGCACAGGGUUCAGACAGUACGCCGGAGCGAAGGGGCGCCACUACAACCUCUUGAGGUCCUUAUCCAGGACCCAUGCGGCCCGGAGUGCAAAGCCUCCUGGCGAAGAACAGCAAGAGCCCGCGGAAGGGACAGCGCGGAUGGCCCGAGCCCUGGACCUGGGGAGCUGUGGCCUCAAGUGGACCGCGCCCCCCUGCCGGCUUGGCGCCUGACCGGGCCGCGACCCCAGACUCCCGCGGAGGGGCCGGGGCAGGGACGGAGCAAAGCCGAGAGGAGCAGGACUCACUAGUCCCCCAGAGGACCAAGACCCCGGCGUUUCGGGGUGAGCUAGUAAGAUUUCACGGUAGGGACAAGGCUCAGAAAAGCUAAAUUGAGAAUUGGGAUUUGGAGGGGGGAAUUAUCUGAAAUUUCAGAAUUUUCAUUUCUAUUUGGAAACAUAGGAAUAACCAAAAUUAGGAGGAAAUAUACUGUUUCAUUUUGCCUCCUUGUAAUCCUAUUAUGCCUUAUAAGGUCAUAACCUGAGAUUGUGCCUGGCUGCCUUCAUUAAUCCAUCGUAAACGUGAGGACUGACUGCCAGGGAGCACACUAACGCUUCACGUAUGCUAAUCAUUUUACAGUUUACCAAGCACGGCCACAUCCCAGUCUACUUUGAGCUUCACAGCCACCCUUGAGUCAGGCAAGGAAGGUAACAUUCCUUUUCCCAUUUCAGCAGGUAGAAAAUUCAAGCUCAGAGAGGGGAGGUAUCUGCAGAGAGGGGAAGUCACCCUGCAGGUAGGAAGCAGCAGAGUCCCUACUCGGCCCGACACGCUAGCACGGCCGACUGGGGCGCGGCGUGGAUUCCUCUAGGCUGGGGUCACCAACUUCUCAAGGGGCAAAGGAGAGUCCUAGCCCCCGCCCAAAGAAUUUGUGCCUGUUCAUGAUGAAUCACGCUAGACACGUUUGUCACCCGUUUGUGCUCUUUCAUCACAGCUUCUUCUCUUUCUUACUUCUCUCCUGGGGGCCAAACUGGGAAGGAAAGGCUAAGCCACGGGGCUUCCUGCUUCGUGCUUGUGGGUUUCUGGGGUCCUACUAACCACUCCUCUAAUCGAAUGUCCUGAAGCCCAGCGACUCGACGGAGAGGCCAAAGGUGCGAGACCACUAGCCAAACAGGCUUCUAGUCCUCACCUCCCGGCAAUUCGCUGUGUGAAGGUGGGCGAGUCAUGUCCCAUCUCUCGAGUCCCCAUCUUAGAGCCGGUCCCCAGCAGACCUUUAAGCUUCCUUCCUACUCUGCCAUAUGGCUCUGAGCUCCGGUGCAAAGGCGGCUGGGCAGUGGGUCGCGCGGACCUUGCCCAGAGUGGUCUGUCUGGGCCGCGCACUGCUGGCUUAGCUGCCUUUUCACUCUCGGGACUCAACAGUGGACAUUGCACCUGGGGAAGAAAUGGCCGCGCGGAAGUUAUUUAAGGACUCUUCCUGGAAGGAGUCACCUGAGCGGACCUGAAUUCCAUCUGAGGACGGAGGACAGAUUCCGGGCCCUGACCCUGGCCCUGGUAAGGGGUUGGGACGCGGAGGGUUAGAGGAGUGCAGCGCGGCGCACUGGUCUGGAUCCGGCCGCCCGGCUGGGCGCAGGGCAGUCACCGAAGUGGCCUGGCCGGGCGACUAGUCCGUCUGCACCGCAGACAGCAGCUAUUACUGAACGCCUGCUCGGUGACCAGGAGCCUCCCCAGCCUAACUAUUGUUCUUCUCCCUUGUCUCCCAUUUCCUUUUCCUUUCACUUUAUCCUCUGCGAGUCAAGCUCUUCGCGCAGAUCCAGGACUGGCUAUCAGUCGCUCUGAGGAUGCGACCUACUUGUCGCCAGCUUCCACUUGGUUCCGCGCCAGGACAGGUUUUACUUUCAUUUCUCCCGCGCGCGCCUCCGACUGCUGGGGAGGUCAAGGACAGCUAGGCGUCGGCCCACGGCCAGGGAAGGUCCCGUGGUCUGGACUCGUUCCUUCCAGUCUCCACCAGUCCUGGGGGGUGGGGCGCGGCGGGGGUGUUCGUUCUCCAGAGAACUCUGCGACUGUACCUCGCUGCCACCUCGCUGCCUCCUCGCUGCCCUUUACAAAAGCUCGUGAUUCCGUGGGGGAAACUUGAGCUGUGGCUCUGCCAGGAGGAUCGCGAAGCAAGUGCCCUUGGUUCAAACUCCUCUUUGAGCUGCAGGCAGCUUCAAAAAGGAAAGCAAGCCCAGGAGUGUAGGGAGACUCAGAGGCUAGGCUCUGCCAGCCUCGGGUGCCUAUGCCAGCAACCUCUUGGCUGUGACAAGAAUUCCCACCUGAGAGUCUUGGCAUGCACUUUAUCAGCCUGGUGCACUUUGCCGCUCUGGCACUUAGAGAUCUGUCACUUGAGAACCAAGUCAAUUCUUUAAGUAAAAUCUUGGAUUGGCAGCUCAAAGUAUUUUCCUAGAAAGCCCCUAUCUUGGAGUGAGUGAGUGUGUGCGCGAGCGCGCACCCCGCUUGCAUGGGUGAGUAGCAGGGGCUAGAGUGCUCCCCAAAGCUUCGUGGGUUUAAGUCGAAAAAAGAUAAGGAGUUUGUUAAAUCUGGGCAUCUAUGUUUUUUCUCGUGAAAU